GAUGAAGAACGCAGCGAAAUGCGAUAAGUAGUGUGAAUUGCAGAAUUCAGUGAAUCAUCGAAUCUUUGAACGCACAUUGCGCCCCUCGGUAUUCCGUGGGGCAUGCCUGUUCGAGCGUCAUCUACACCCUCAAGCUCUGCUUGGUGAUGGGCGUCUGUCCCGCCUCGGCGCGCGGACUCGCCCCAAACGCAUUGGCAGCGGUCCUCGCCCCCUCUCGCGCAGCACAUUGCGCUUCUCGAGGGCCCGGCGGCCCGCGUCCAGCAAGCGACCACACCGUCUUUGACCUCGGAUCAGGUAGGGAUACCCGCUGAACUUAAGCAUAUCAAUAAGCGGAGGA
rnacentral:misc_RNA from 1 species